GGUUCUGUAGUGUAGUGGUUAUCACGUUCGCUUUACACGCGAAAGGUCUCCGGUUCGAUCCCGGACGGAACCA
rnacentral:tRNA from 1 species